AUUAAGUGUCUACCACCCUUGAAUCAAAACCUAGUUCAAGAAUAAGCUGUGGAAAAUCAACAAUUGGAGGAAUCUAGAAAAUCCUUCAACCCAGUUCAAGAUCAAAGCUGUGGAAAGUCAACAAAGCGCAACAAAAUACGUGUCGAUUCACCCACUACCAAAGCCAAAGAUCAUCUACCACAUGAAGCUCCUUGUGGUCCAAUUUCAACCUUCAAGAUCAAGCCUCGACGGCCCUUGAAGAAAUUUCAAACAAAGUUCAAGAUCAAGCCUCAACGGCCCUUGAAGAAAUCUCAAGCCCAAUUCAAGAUCAAGCCUCAACGGCCCUUGAAGAAAUCUCCAGCCCAAUUCAAGAUCAAGCCUCGACGGCCCUUGGAUCGACAUCUACAUUAAGGGACUUCAAAACGCAUCUCCUACACGUGACAAGCACAUGUAUACGACUCGCCUUGAAGUGGGGGCAUUUGUAGACAUCGAAAUUUCGGUAAAUAAAUGUUGACCG
rnacentral:lncRNA from 1 species